AUUGAACGCUGGCGGCAGGCCUAACACAUGCAAGUCGAACGAGUGGCGGACGGGUGAGUAAUGUCUGGGAAACUGCCUGAUGGAGGGGGAUAACUACUGGCAACGGUAGCUAAUACCGCAUACCAUUGGAUGUGCACAGAUGGGAUUAGCUAGUAGGUGGGGUAAAGGCGCACCUAGGAGACGAUCCCUCGCUGGUCUGAGAGGAUGCCCAGCAACAAGGGAACUUAGACACGGUCCAGAAUCCUACGAGAGGCAGCAGUGGGGAAUAUUGCACAAUGGGCGCAAGCCUGAUGCAGCCAUGCCGCGUGUAUGAAGAAGGCCUUCGGGUUGUAAAGUACUUUCAGCGGGGAGGCGUUACCCGCAGAAGAAGCACCGGCUAACUCCGUGCCAGCAGCCGCGGUAAUUC
rnacentral:rRNA from 1 species